rnacentral:misc_RNA from 1 species
CCCCGUGACAGUUGGUAUCAGAGCGGUUUGAGGAGUAUUUCGGGAACUAUGGCUGAUUCAAGUAACCAUGCGCAAGGUGGUCCUUCGUUGGUGGAACAACAGGCUGGUGCAAGGAGUAAGGUGCUGGCCAAAUUCAUGGGCCCUUCUCGGUUGAGAGAAGAGUUGGGGAACAUUGAAACUAGGAUGGACAAGAUAGAGGAUCACUUGGUCAGUGGGGACGAUAGAUUUGAGGAGCUGGAGAGCCGGCUAAGGGAGCUUGGAGAAGGGUUAGAGGACACCCGAGGUGAACUCCAAGCUACACUCAAUGAAGCCCUUGACAAGGUGGCCAAUGAAAGUAAGGCCCUGAAAAUUGCUCACGCCAAGGAAAUGUCCACCAUGAGGGAAGACAACCGUGUGUUGAAAGAAAAGGUAGAGAAGAUGCAUGAGGACAUGAAGGAUAUGCGGGAAGAACUUGGGUUGCUAGACAUUUCCCCCGUGACACGUGCCACGGGAGUUUUAUGUGA